GAUGAAGAACGCAGCGAAAUGCGAUAAGUAAUGUGAAUUGCAGAAUUCAGUGAAUCAUCGAGUCUUUGAACGCACAUUGCGCCCUCUGGUAUUCCGGAGGGCAUGCCUGUCCGAGCGUCAUUGCUGCCCUCCAGCCCGGCUGGUGUGUUGGGCCCCGUCCCCCUUCCCGGGGGGACGGGCCCGAAAGGCAGCGGCGGCACCGCGUCCGGUCCUCGAGCGUAUGGGGCUUUGUCACCCGCUCUUGUAGGCCCGGCCGGCGCUUGCCGACACAUCAAUCUUUUUUCCAGGUUGACCUCGGAUCAGGUAGGGAUACCCGCUGAACUUAAGCAUAUCAAUAAGCGGAGGA
rnacentral:misc_RNA from 1 species